rnacentral:rRNA from 1 species
AACAAACGCUGGCGGCAGGCUUAACACAUGCAAGUCGAACGCAUCCUUCGGGGUGAGUGGCAGACGGGUGAGUAACGCGUGGGAACGUGCCCUUCAGUUCGGGAUAACCCAGGGAAACUUGGGCUAAUACCGGAUACGUGCGAGAGCAGAAAGAUUUAUCGCUGAAGGAUCGACCCGCGUCUGAUUAGCUAGUUGGUGGGGUAAUGGCCCACCAAGGCGACGAUCAGUAGCUGGUCUGAGAGGAUGAUCAGCCACAUUGGGACUGAGACACGGCCCAAACUCCUACGGGAGGCAGCAGUGGGGAAUAUUGGACAAUGGGCGCAAGCCUGAUCCAGCCAUGCCGCGUGAGUGAUGAAGGCCUUAGGGUUGUAAAGCUCUUUCGUCCGGGACGAUAAUGACGGUACCGGAAGAAGAAGCCCCGGCUAACUUCGUGCCAGCAGCCGCCGUAA